UCGGUUGAGGACGUGUGUGGGCGGAGCCAUAAACUCCAGGGCGGAGCGGUCUCCAGGGGACAAUUGAGUACUGGGUGUCAGGGAGGAGGAUGCGCAGAGGCAACGUGCUGUCCGGGAAGAUGAAAGUGGCGGCAGCUCUGCAGGGACAGCAUGGUGAGCAGAGGAAGCAAUGCCAGAACGGCGAGUGCAGCAGCGACACUCCCACCCUGCUCUGGACGAGGCAGAACGUUGUGUGUGCAGAAUACCGUUCUUCAGCUGCUUCCUGCUGUGUGCACUUGUACGACUUGUUGUUUCCCUAACCUGAAUGGACAGUUAAAAGUUAACAUAGACCUAAACAAGCUGGGACAGUGACAGCUGAGGUGAUUGUGGAUCCUCGCUUUGUGGACUCGCCAAAAUUGCUUGUGGUGGCAGGGACAACACUGCGGAGAUGCGCCGUUGGGGUGGUGAUGAUGGAGCAGCAGAUUCAGCCUCAAGACGACGUCUCUUGGUUGGCCUCCUAGGCACAGUCACCGAGCCCUGUGAUGGGCGCCUUAGUGGAGGGGGGUUUGCAGAAGAAGAACCUAUGUGAUAAGAUAAACAUUAACAUUUUGUGCUUCUAUGUGUUUGCUGAAUAUGUGAAUACAGUGAAUUCUUACCUGCAUUCCCACCAUCUGCAUCACUUGGCAGUGUUGGCUGUGGACUGGCUGUGCUGCUUCUCUGGCGUACUGUAAAAAUAUGAAGAAUUACCUUAUGGACAUACUUUUAUUUAACAAUGUUUUCUGUAAAUCCUUCUUGUGAUGUAAACAUCUGGAACCUGAUGAUAAUAAGUAAACUAAAC